GACUCAAACGAGCAGGCGGCACAAUGAGACGAUCACAAACAGCAUGAUGUACAUUAACAGUUACGCCUGACGACCAUAGCACGCGUGAACCACCUGAUCCCUUGCCGAACUCAGAAGUGAAACCGCUUAGCGCCGAUGGUAGUGUGGGGUCUCCCCAUGCGAGAGUAGGUCAUCGUCAGGCACUUAUUAUGAAAAAUCCCCCAGGGCUGAUGCCUUGGGGGAUUUUUUUUGCGUGUGGGGGAGGUUGUGAGGGGUAAAUGGUGGGCAGUAAAGGGUAAGUCGUGAAUCGUGAGUAGGAAACGUUGGUGAAUGGCUAUCUCCCGAAUAUCCUGUUCCGCCUCACGCCUCACGCCUCACGCCUCACGCCUCACGCCUCACGCCUCACGCCUCACGCCUCACGCCUCACGCCUCACGCCUCACGCCUCACUUUUAUACAUCCCUUCGAUGCUGGCACUGCCCGCCUGCCCAGGUUUCAUAAAUAGCGCGGUCGUCCGCCAGCAUCAUGAGUGCAAACAGCCGCUCACCAAGCGUGGUGCAAUGAUUGAUUCGUCGAGAGAGUAGCGAUGUUGCCUGGGUGUCAAUCACCACAAAGUCAGCCUCAAGGGUAGGCGCCAACUGACCGAUGUGGCUAUCCAACGAGAGAGCUUUUGCAUUACCCAUGGUUAAGCCAUAAAAGCCCUGCCAUGCGGUAAGGGGCUGUCCGCCUAGUUGACCCACUUGAUAGGCCGCUUUAAGCGUUCCAAAUCCUGAUAAAUCAGUGCCUGCGCCGAUAUCGCUGGCAAACGUAUAUGCCAUGCCCGUCUGUUUGGCUGCUUCGCGGUCGAAUAACCCGCUACCCAGAAAAAGAUUGGAGCUGGGGCAAAAGGCAAUAUUGGCUCCUCGAUCCGCCAAGCGUUUGCGCAUGCCGUUAUCGAGGUGAAUACCAUGAGCGAAGGUGCUGCGGGGCCCGACUAAGCCUGCCUCCUCAUACACAGCCAAGUAGUCGCGGCUACCAGGAAAAAGUUCGGCUACCCAGUCUAACUCGCCACUGUUUUCAGCUAAGUGGGUCUGUAACCAAAGGCUAGGAUCAUUACGUAAGAGAGCGCCGGCAGCGUCCAUUUGCGUCUUAGUUGAAGUCGGCGCAAAACGCGGUGUGACGCUAUAGCCCAGGCGGUCAUUGCCGUGCCAGUCUUCAAUCAGUCGCUCGCUGUCAGCAAUGCCAGAUGCACCGUCCAUCAGCGCCUCUGGCGCAUUACGAUCCAUCAAUACCUUACCCACCAGCAUGCGCAGCUGGCGUUUUUGGCAGGCGGUGAAAAAUGCAUCUACGGAGCCGGGGUGGCUAGAGCCGAAUACCUGGGCAGUGGUAGUGCCCGCACGUAGCAUUUCAUCCAAAAAAGCAUUAGACAGCGCUUCAGCAUGGACAUGAUUAGCAAAGCGACACUCUUCAGGAAAGGUGUAGUCGUUUAGCCAGUCAAGCAGUUGGCGGCCAUAAGAAGCCAUGAUAUCCAGCUGCACAUAGUGCACAUGGGUAUCGAUAAACCCCGGCAUAAUCAGCUUGUCACGAUAAUCAAGAACGUCAGCCCCUUUGGGUAGCAAAGGUGAGAGUUCGGUGAAAUGGCCGACGGCAUGAAUAUGCUGGCCUUUCAACCAGAGCAGUCCGUCGCCGUAAUGCUCUAAGCUGCCCGGUUCAGGUGUAUUGCCAUCGCCAGGGUCACGGGCAAAACUAAUCAAUUCAGCACGAAUGAACGUAUCGGUAGAAGAAGUCAUAUCAACUCGGGGUCGUCGGAGAAUCGGUCAUUAGCGUUCGCACUGCCUGGGGGUCAAGGCCACGGUUUUCUUGCGAAGAGGGCGUGUCCGUUAGCCAAAGCAGUUCAGCCACCACCGUUAAAGCAAUCGCAUAGGGCGUUUUAUUACUCAGCUUAGUGGCGUGGAUGUGGCCGAUAGGGCAUCGCACCUGCGCAAUUUGAUCGGCGGAGUAACCAUCGCGCUUAAGGCGUCCUUCAAAGCUUGCCCAUUUGCUGUCAGAACCAAUUAGCCCAAUCGACGCGAUGCCAUCGCGCGCGAUCAGCGCUUUGAUCAGCGCAUAGUCUUCGUCAUGGUUGUGCGUCAAUACCAGUGCGUGGCUAUCAGCAGGUAAGGCGGCAACACUUUGCUGUGCAUCUUGGAGUGAAUAACAGCUAAGUCGCGGCUGCUGCUGAUGGUACUGCUCGGCAAACGCAUCGCUUCGGCUAUCGUACCAGUGUAAUUGCCAGGGAAGCGGCGCACUUAGCUUUACCAGUUGCUGCCCUACGUGCCCUGCACCAAAGAUCGCUAUGUGCGUUGUAGUGCCUGGAAAGGCUUCCAAUAGGAUAUUAACGAACCCACCACAGCACUGGCCGCUUCGUCCGCCCAAAGAGAAGGCUUCCAAACUGAGGCCAUAGCAUUUUUCUGUCAAACAAGCACGUGCAGCGGUAAUGGUUUGCCACUCAAAGGUACCGCCACCUAGUGUAUCGAAGAUCGCAUCGUUGGUGAUCACCAUGCGUGCGCCAGGCUCCCGGGGAGUGGAGCCUGCGCUGGUUACCUGAGUGGCUAAUACAUGCGGUAUGCCGUCGCGCUGUAGGCGGUGUAACGCCGCAUGCCAGCUUUCUGGGUUUUGACUAGAACUCACAGCACUUUCUUCCUGAUAGCGUUGGCUGCCAGCAUGACCCGCUCUGGUGUGGCCGGUGUAUCUAAGUGAGGAGAGAUGGCGUAACCAGUAAGGCUGGAUAGCGCAUCACGCAGCGCUGACCACACACUGAUGCCGAGCAUUAAAGGGGGCUCACCGACU
rnacentral:rRNA from 1 species